rnacentral:rRNA from 1 species
UGGGGAAUAUUGCACAAUGGGCGGAAGCCUGAUGCAGCGACGCCGCGUGAGGGAUGACGGCCUUCGGGUUGUAAACCUCUUUCAGCAGGGACGAAGCGCAAGUGACGGUACCUGCAGAAGAAGCGCCGGCCAACUACGUGCCAGCAGCCGCGGUAAGACGUAGGGCGCGAGCGUUGUCCGGAUUUAUUGGGCGUAAAGAGCUCGUAGGCGGCUUGUCGCGUCGACUGUGAAAACCCGCGGCUCAACCGCGGGCUUGCAGCCGAUACGGGCAGGCUAGAGUUCGGUAGGGGAGACUGGAAUUCCUGGUGUAGCGGUGAAAUGCGCAGAUAUCAGGAGGAGCACCGAUGGCGAAGGCAGGUCUCUGGGCCGAUACUGACGCUGAGGAGCGAAAGCGUGGGGAGCGAACAGG